CCUACGGGGGGCAGCAGUCGGGAAUAUUGCGCAAUGGAGGAAACUCUGACGCAGUGACGCCGCGUAUAGGAAGAAGUUUUUCGGAAUGUAAACUAUUGUCGUUAGGGAAGAGAAAGGACAGUACCUAAGGAGGAAGCUCCGGCUAACUACGUGCCAGCAGCCGCGGUAAUACGUAGGGAGCGAGCGUUAUCCGGAAUUAUUGGGUGUAAAGGGUGCGUAGACGGGAAAACAAGUUAGUUGUGAAAUCCCUCGGCUUAACUGAGGAACUGCAACUAAAACUAUUUUUCUUGAGUGCAGGAGAGGUA
rnacentral:rRNA from 1 species